rnacentral:rRNA from 1 species
AGCGAACGCUGGCGGCAGGCUUAACACAUGCAAGUCGAGCGGGCACCUCGGUGUCAGCGGCAGACGGGUGAGUAACACGUGGGAACGUACCCUUUGGUUCGGAAUAACGCUGGGAAACUAGCGCUAAUACCGGAUACGCCCUUUUGGGGAAAGGCUUGCUGCCGAAGGAUCGGCCCGCGUCUGAUUAGCUAGUUGGUGGGGUAAUGGCCUACCAAGGCGACGAUCAGUAGCUGGUCUGAGAGGAUGAUCAGCCACACUGGGACUGAGACACGGCCCAGACUCCUACGGGAGGCAGCAGUGGGGAAUAUUGGACAAUGGGCGCAAGCCUGAUCCAGCCAUGCCGCGUGAGUGAUGAAGGCCUUAGGGUUGUAAAGCUCUUUUGUCCGGGACGAUAAUGACGGUACCGGAAGAAUAAGCCCCGGCUAACUUCGUG